rnacentral:rRNA from 1 species
ACGGGAGAAAGCAGGGGACCUUUGGGCCUUGCGCUAAUAGAUGAGCCUAAGUCGGAUUAGCUAGUUGGUAGGGUAAAGGCCUACCAAGGCGACGAUCUGUAGCGGGUCUGAGAGGAUGAUCCGCCACACUGGGACUGAGACACGGCCCAGACUCCUACGGGAGGCAGCAGUGGGGAAUAUUGGACAAUGGGGGGAACCCUGAUCCAGCCAUGCCGCGUGUGUGAAGAAGGCCUUUUGGUUGUAAAGCACUUUAAGCGAGGAGGAGGCUACCUAGAUUAAUACUUUAGGAUAGUGGACGUUACUCGCAGAAUAAGCACCGGCUAACUCUGUGCCAGCAGCCGCGGUAAUACAGAGGGUGCGAGCGUUAAUCGGAUUUACUGGGCGUAAAGCGUGCGUAGGCGGCCAAUUAAGUCAAAUGUGAAAUCCCCGAGCUUAACUUGGGAAUUGCAUUCGAUACUGGUUGGCUAGAGUAUGGGAGAGGAUGGUAGAAUUCCAGGUGUAGCGGUGAAAUGCGUAGAGAUCUGGAGGAAUACCGAUGGCGAAGGCAGCCAUCUGGCCUAAUACUGACGCUGAGGUACGAAAGCAUGGGGAGCAAACAGGAUUAGAUACCCUGGUAGUCCAUGCCGUAAACGAUGUCUACUAGCCGUUGGGGCCCUUGAGGCUUUAGUGGCGCAGCUAACGCGAUAAGUAGACCGC